rnacentral:lncRNA from 1 species
UCUGUCUCUUAUCUGUCUGGAUAAGAGCUCAUCAAGUCCCUUACUCAAACAUCAGUAAAGGUGACUUCGUUGGAUGGACAUCGAUGGUGGAGAAGGAAAGAUGAACAAGAUAGCCACUAUUGCUUCACUCUCUGUAGUCUCUUCAUGUGAGCCUCCAGGAAGAACACAGAAUACCUCAGUGUCUUAUCUGCCGGGAGUCAUCUCUCUCACCCCCAGAGGGUCUUCACCAGACAAUAAAAAAGGAAACGCGUCAGCUGGGUGGCCAUGGUUGGGAAGAAGAGGUGAACAAGCUCGGCACGGUCUGUGGAGGUGUCGGCCUUGCUCCCCACGGCCUUCUCUGUUUCAGGUAGGUCCCGAGGGGACCCUAUGGAGGGAGCCCUGGUGAAGAGCAUUGCUGUGAGGACAGCUGCAACUGAGUCCUUCCUGAAAGAAGUGUUUGUAUUUUCAGAGGAAAAACUGAGAUUCCUAAGUGCAUGUUUCCUUAAAUGCAGCCAGGCUCCCUGUGGGCUGAGCCAAAGGCUGAGAGAGCAAACAGCUCCUUCUCCGAUGUGCACGGAGGACUUGUCCUAGUGUUUCUCUCGAGUUUCUAUGAGGCCUUCUGUUCACACGCAUGUCUUGUUGAUUGUGAGUUGGAGGAAGAAAAAAGGGGAUAGUCCCCUAUAAUUAGGACUCUAAGAGAGUAGAGCGGUUCCCUCACCCAUAAGAGACCUUCAUCGGGAAACGGGCAAUUUGUCCCUGUGCCAUGUGUUAUGAACAGUCCUAUGGGUUUCCUCUACAGACUUGACAAAAUGUCUUUCUUCUCAUCAUGGAUGAAAGCUAUUUUCGUGCUAGCCUUGCUAUUUCCUCUUCAUUCUGAAUCUGGGCUUUCCCGGAAGCGAAAACCUAUACCAGAA